UACGGAGGGUGCAAGCGUUAUCCGGAUUCACUGGGUUUAAAGGGUGCGUAGGCGGACAGGUAAGUCAGUGGUGAAAUCUCUGGGCUUAACCCAGAAACUGCCGUUGAUACUAUCUGUCUUGAAUAUCGUGGAGGUAAGCGGAAUAUGUCAUGUAGCGGUGAAAUGCUUAGAUAUGACAUAGAACACCCAUUGCGAAGGCAGCUUACUACACGAUCAUUGACGCUGAGGCACGAAAGCGUGGGGAGCAAACAGG
rnacentral:rRNA from 1 species